GGCCCUGCUGCCGCGGCGCCCAAGUGCCUCCCCCUGGUCCCAGGUCCUCCCCUCCAACCCUCGGCCCUAGCCGGGUUCCGCCUGGGAUCCCGCGGCCCCUCCAAGGCGCGGCAUACUUUUGCAAAGUUCUCUGACUCCUGGUUUGGAAUACUGUCCUCUGAUUAGCUCAGCAUCAUUCUUCAGAUCUCUACUCAAGUGUUAUGGAAUGUGUGAUGCCUUUCUUGAUUUCCCCAGCCAGACUCCUUGUUGCUGCUUCUACUUUUUCUUACCCCUUAUACUAAGGGCCAUUAGAGCACAUAUCACUAUUUCAUUUGUUUGCAUAUCUGUAUAAGGAAAAGCCACAGUUCAGUAUUUCUCUUGAAUAGAGAAAAACUCAGUCC